CACCGUGUAAACAUUCACAGUGCAGGGUGGGAAAAGUAUGUGAACCCUUGGAUUUAAUAACUGGUUGACCCUCUUUUGGCAGCAAUGACCUCAACCAAACGUUUUCUGUCGUUGAGGAUCAGACCUGCACAACGGGGGCAGGAGGAAUUUUGGAUUUUUUCUUCUGAGCAAAACUGUUCCAGUUCAGCAAUACUCUUGGGAUGUCCGGUGUGAACUGCUCUUAAGGUCAAUACUCUUGGGAUGUCUGGUGUGAACUGCUCUUGAGGUCAAUACUCUUGGGAUGUCUGGUGUGAACUGCUCUUGAGGUCAAUACUCUUGGGAUGUCUGGUGUGAACUGCUCUUGAGGUCAAUACUCUUGGGAUGUCCGGUGUGAACUGCUCUUAAGGUCAAUACUCUUGGGAUGUCCGGUGUGAACUGCUCUUAAGGUCAAUACUCUUGGGAUGUCCGGUGUGAACUGCUCUUGAGGUCAAUACUCUUGGGAUGUCUGGUGUGAACUGCUCUUGAGGUCAAUACUCUUGGGAUGUCCGGUGUGAACUGCUCUUAAGGUCAAUACUCUUGGGAUUUCCGGUGUGAACUGCUCUUGAGGUCAAUACUCUUGGGAUGUCUGGUGUGAACUGCUCUUGAGGUCAAUACUCUUGGGAUGUCUGGUGUGAACUGCUCUUGAGGUCAAUACUCUUGGGAUGUCCGGUGUGAACUGCUCUUGAGGUCAAUACUCUUGGGAUGUCCGGUGUGAACUGCUCUUAAGGUCAAUACUCUUGGGAUUUCCGGUGUGAACUGCUCUUGAGGUCAAUACUCUUGGGAUGUCUGGUGUGAACUGCUCUUGAGGUCAAUACUCUUGGGAUGUCUGGUGUGAACUGCUCUUGAGGUCAAUACUCUUGGGAUGUCUGGUGUGAACUGCUCUUGAGGUCAAUACUCUUGGGAUGUCCGGUGUGAACUGCUCUUGAGGUCAAUACUCUUGGGAUGUCUGGUGUGAACUGCUCUUGAGGUCAUGCAACAGCAUCUCAAAUCGGGUUGAGGUCAGGACUAGGCGACUCCAGGAGGCGUAUUUUCUUCUGUUGAAGUCAUUCUGUUGUUGAUUUACUUCUUCUUCUGUGGUGUUUUGGGUCGUUGUAAUGUUGCGUCACCAAACUUCUGGGUGAUGUCCUGUUGAGCUUCACUUGGCGGACAGAUGACAAAGAGCAAAUAAAAGUAGCAUUUUCAGAGAAAGAAGCAUCAUUACUGGCACAAAAUACAACAAGUUGGGUACUUUACAAGUGACGUUGC